UUGCUUCAUGGCGAGAUGUUGAAAGACGGUUUCGGCUGUCACUACAAGAUGGGCCCGCGGCGCAAUAGCUAGUUGGUAGGGUAAUGGCCUACCAAGGCGACGAUGCGUAGCCGACCUGAGAGGGUGAUCGGCCACACUGGGACUGAGACACGGCCCAGACUCCUACGGGAGGCAGCAGUAGGGAAUCUUCCACAAUGGACGAAAGUCUGAUGGAGCAACGCCGCGUGAGUGAAGAAGGUUUUCGGAUCGUAAAACUCUGUUGUAAGGGAAGAACACGUACGAGAGUAACUGCUCGUACCUUGACGGUACCUUAUUAGAAAGCCACGGCUAACUACGUG
rnacentral:rRNA from 1 species